rnacentral:lncRNA from 1 species
UACAAGAAAGCAGGAAGAUGGCGCCAGUCUGUUGCGCUGUCCAAGAAGGACAAUCUCUACAAGGACGCGAUGGAAACUGCAUCGCAAUCUGGAGAUCGUGAUCUUGCCGAAGAACUGCUGUCGUUCUUUAUUGAACAGGUAACUUCAACUAGCGGAAAACGUUUUACUAAUUAUUGGAUCGCAAUUGUGUGUUUCAGCAAAAGAAGGAAUGCUUCGCGUCCUGCCUGUUUACAUGUUACGAUUUGAUCCGGCCCGACGUAGCAUUGGAGCUUGCCUGGAUAAACAACUUGAUCGACUUCUCCUUCCCUUACCUGUUACAAGUAAGACCUUGGAGUUCUUCCUCAUGACUUCUGACACUUUGCUAUCGACUCUAGUUCAUCCGCGAGUACACCAGCAAGGUGGACGAUCUGAUCAAAGACAAGCUAGCAGCCGACCAGGAGGUCAAGAGCAAGGAGAAGGAAGAGAAGGAUCUAGUGGCUCAACAGGUUUGUCUCCUCACCUCAUUUGCUGCAACUAUAGACUGAAUUCGAUCUUGCAGAACAUGUACGCUCAGCUCCUUCCUCUGGCGCUGCCCGCUCCUCCGAUGCCCGGCAUGGGAGGCGGUCCUCCAGGAUUCAACCCGGGCAUGCCACCUCCUUUUGGUGGAAUGCCUGGCUACGGCAUGCCUCCCAUGGGCGGAUAUUAGAGGUAGGAAGAUUAUCUUUUGUUUUCAAUCACGAAAGACUACACAGGUGAAGGGUCUAGCAGAGAUUUUUUGUAAAUUUAGAUCGAGAAUAAUAUAUGGUCUUGUAUUUUUCUUUCUUUUUAUCAGCGGCUAGCACCAUGGAAGUCACUCACCUUGCAAAUAAAAUGCAGAUACCAAAGUAAGAACUUGUGCAACUUCUUGUUUCGUAGUUUGAUAGAAAUCGUCUUGAAGCAGCAAAUGAGAGGACCACCAAGCUGCUCAAGAAAGCCACGGCGUCGACUGCGUUGGAAACAUCGGGAAUCUCCAUGCGUUUCCUGUAGCGCAGCUCCAGCCAUGCACACGUAACAGGCACGUCGAUUGGACAAAUCAAGCACACUCCUCCACAAGGUAGAAGAUGACUUUGUUGACACCCGCGUCCUCCAGGACCGGCAGCUGUUGGAGGGUACCAGACCGGCAGCCGCGGCUUCAGCAUCUGGUAGCCUCCAACAGCUGCCCAGAAGCGGAUAUCGUCGAGAAGCAUCCAGCUGCACUCUUCCUCCGCCUCCUCCCAGCUCACCGCGGCCAACAAGUUGACGAAAGCUCUUUCCCAGCCUCAGCAGUUGCAUUGCCUUGGGCAAAGCGGUGUCACCUCUUGUAGCAGCGAAGUAGAACAAGUCCCAGCAAACGAAGCCGUCUAGGAGCCAGAAGGCCGUUCCCGAGCCAGAGGCCGUAGCCGGCUGUGAUAUCGUUCUGGAAAAGCCAUUGAUUUGCUCGACCAUGGCCGUGUGCUUGGACUGCCCUGGAGGCACGAUUGGAAGAGGCGGGCGACGGUCUUGCUCGCGAAGCCGUGAAGCUCCACUGUGGCGACCAUCUGUCACCCCACACAAAUCCAUUCCCGAAUCCCUGCGACUGUGGAGGGUAACGUGUGCACUACCUAGAUCAUCCUUCGGACAUACGACACUGGGAUGCAUGCUACGUGCGGUUGGUGUAUCGUUCCAUCCCGGAUACCACCUGCGAGGUGGCGCUGACGUUGAGCGGAAGCAUGGGCAUGGCGCAGGUCCGGGGGCAGCGUCAGCCCCUGGUUGCGAUCGGCCACCUCGUUGCUGCAAUGUUGACAUAGGACACAAGGUAGAAGUCCUUGGCCGCCACAUUUCCACAGAGGGCAUAAAUAAAAGGGAUCAAUGGAAGUAAUAUAGUAUUGUUUGAAAAAGGAUGCUCACUAAGAUGAUCGAGACCAUUUCUGUACUGCUGCAACGAGCAGGCCGAGUUACCGGGGGUGAUCUAUCGAUGCCCGCGAUUUACUUUCAACAAAGGUAAAAGCACUUUCGCGUACGGUGGAAGCCUCAGGAUCAUAAGAUAGGCCUCUCACUCGCAAGCUUCUCUCGUGUAAAUUCAGCCGCUUUUGUGAAUAACCUUUGUUCUUUCUUUCGUUCACAUGGGUUGAUGAAAUCCGUAUGGGGAUCUCGUAGCUUAUUGUGACCAUUGACUAGUCAAAAGGACGCCUUCUCUCUGGCGAGAAUGCGGUAAUACACGAUCACACAGACUCAGGGAGUAGAAAUCUCUCGCUCGCUCGCUUACUCAGCUGUAGACUGGCAGCUACGAGGAUGUUGCUGAAGACUCCAAGUCGAUCAAUCGGCUGGCUUUUGCUCCUUGAACGAUCUGUUAAUCCCCGUUGUUGAUCACACUCGUGUGGUUGACAUAACGCUCAAGGUUUGUAUUUUGAUUCUCUUGCCACGUUUCUGACACCUUUCUGCAGGCUAGAAACCUUCAUCUUGUGAAGCCAUACAUGGUGGCUGUGCAAAGCGCAAAUGUGGCCGCUGUGAACGAGGUACGUUGAAGAAGAAGAUUGAGAUCGCCUAAGAGAAUCCAUUUAUCUUCAAAUUUCUUUGGCGCAAAAGGUUUGAACUUGCGGAAGACACUGUUUUGCGGCUUGAAAAACACGAGCUUAUCGCCUACAUUUACAAGAAAGCAGGAAGAUGGAGCCAAUCUGUUGCGCUGUCCAAGAAGGACAAUCUUUGUACAAGAAACGGCAUCGCAACCUGGAGAUCGUGAUCUUGCUGAAGAACUGCUGUCGUUCUUUAUUGAACAGGUAACUUGGAUAGCAAUUUACUAAUGAUUGGAUCGCAAUCAUUAGUGUGAUCAGCAAAAGAAGGAAUGAUUCAUGUCUUGCCCCAGCAAGGUGGACGAUCUGAUCAAAUACAAG